ensembl:lncRNA
AGAUCAUUUAAGCAACCAGCUGAGCUUUGCUCUGAGCAAGCAAGGAAGCUAGAGCCACACCAGGAGCACCCUGCAAGGCCAGUGCUUGAUUAAUUUCAGCUGGCUUUAAUUAAAAAAGAGACUUGAGAAUGGAUUUUGCUGUGGCAUUGGUGGACUUCCCCCCUGAAACCAUGGCCAGGUUCAAUCUGACUCCUUGCCACUGCCAUUUUGAGUGUAAAAGCACUUCUUGUGAGAACAUAAAUUGGAUCCCCACAGCUACAGGAAAGACACGAGAACCCACUGUGACUGUACAGCCCUGCUCUGCCAUUUUCAUCUCCUACCAAUGUGUCUCCUGAAAAGUACUGCUGCUGCGGGGAGGACAACUGUGGUUCAGACAGAAACAGGAGGAAGACAAAAGGGUGAGGUUUGACAUGAAGAAAUAUUCUCCGGAAGGGGGGAUCCCAGGGAUGUCUGCAUGCAAAAAGAUACAAGCCACUGUCUGCAUGAGAACAAGGAAGAUAAUGAGUGGAGUAAGACAAGGAUCAAAGGCAAAGAUAGACCAGACUGCUUGUUUGCCACCCCAGCAC